AGUCGAAGCUCCCUACCUUGAGCAGCUGUUCUGAGCUGGGGCGAUCCUGAGGGACCUUCUGCAGGCAGGAAUCCACGAAGCUCUGGAACGGAGCUGACCUGGAACCGGAGCGGAGUGAGAACCAGUCAACGGAAAACCAGGAAGAGUGUGCGGGCUGUGCAGAGGAUGCAGGAGAGAUUUGAGCAGAUGGCACGAACUGUAAGGAGAGGAUUUCUCUGAAGCGGUAGAGGCUGAGGGGAGGCCUGACAGAUCUUAUAGAGAUCAUUACGCAGUGCAUUGAGGCAGAGCGAAGGAAAAUAAUAAGAGAAACCAGAAUGAAGUGCUACUAUACAAAGAACAUUCAGGCAGGCCAGAAGAUGGAGUGGACAGCUGGCAUCUGUAACUCCAGGGUGAAAAUGUCUAAUACUGAAGUGCAUGCAUUUAAGCGGCUUCCGGUGCACUGGGAAGCAUGAGGCAAGGGUCAGGCCAGGAUUGUUGGACCAACCACCGGUGGUGAGGAGUCAGCACAGAGGACCAAGGUAGGAUACCACACACAUAUCUCCCCACCUCGCAUGCACCCUUUCCCCUCUCACUCUGAUAAUCUCGCUCCCUAUCCCGCAAUCUGAACACAGUGCAAUCUCCACCCACCUCACACAUUUCUACUCCCUGCCAUCUACUGCAAGCUCCCCCCAACCUCCCACGUUCCCUCUUGCCAUCUCUGGCACCCGAACUCCCUUUUGCCACUUCCCCCACACUCUCUCUCCAUCUCCCACCUCCUCCCCUCCCUCCAAGUCAUUGGGUAUAUUUAAAGUGGAAGUUGACAGGUUCUUGAUUAAUCAGGGUGACAAAUAUUACAGAGCAAAGGCAGGAGAAUGGGGAGAUAAUCAGCCGCGACGGAGCAGACCGAUGGGCCAAAAGGCACGAUGAUCUUAGCUGGUUUUUGUUGCACCUCUGCACACAUGGACUGCCAAUAAACUUUGUACAAGCCCCUGGGUGGGGUCAAAGUGAGGUGGGACCACACACUUACCCUCCAGCAGGUCCGACACUGAUCCCAGACAGUACUCCAUCACCAG